rnacentral:miRNA from 1 species
UAUGACACUAAAGCGUAGCAUGG